UACGUAGGGUGCGAGCGUUAAUCGGAAUUACUGGGCGUAAAGCGUGCGCAGGCGGUCUGUUAAGACCGAUGUGAAAUCCCCGGGCUUAACCUGGGAACUGCAUUGGUGACUGGCAGGCUUUGAGUGUGGCAGAGGGAGGUAGAAUUCCACGUGUAGCAGUGAAGUGCGUAGAGAUGUGGAGGAAUACCGAUGGCGAAGGCAGCCUCCUGGGCCGACAUUGACGCUGAUGAGCGAAAGCUAGGGGAGCAAACGGG
rnacentral:rRNA from 1 species